CUGCCUUCUCAGACAACACAAUGGGGGUGAGGUGAGGGGCACCUGUGGAGCAGCCUGGGGGGGAGCUCACACACACCCUGCUGUGGGGCCUGGACGCCCCCGCCCAACAUUGCUGAUCCUCCAGAAGCUGGAGUGACUCCCCAGCAGCCAAGAAGGGUUCCUCACAGUCCACACUGGACACGCACCGUUGACACUUGAGUGCCCACGUCGUGCCGUAAGGGAACGCCUGCUCUCCAGACUUGUCCUCCAUAGUCUCACCGUCAGAGCGUAAGGCCAGGACAGACCCAAGAGAGGUGCCUGGAAGUGUUUCCGGAACAUGGCCAGCACUGUCAGGCCUCAGACAGAGCCUGGCCUGAGCAGAUGCUCCAUAAGUAUUGUGGAGGCGUUGUGGCCGUCCGCACACGAAGUUCAGCAAGUCCUGGUGAUUACCACGGAAAGAACAGCUCCCCGCCUCUUCUCCUCUCUCUGCUGCAUGAACCGUUCCCCUAACUCUGUACUUCUCAACUCUGGCUGGUCAUUAAACACUUGGGGAGCUUAUGAAGCUACU